UACGGAGGGUGCAAGCGUUACUCGGAAUCACUGGGCGUAAAGAGCGUGUAGGCGGAUUUGUAAGUUGGAAGUGAAAUCCUAUGGCUCAACCAUAGAACUGCUUCCAAAACUGCUCAUCUAGAGUGUGGGAGAGGUAGAUGGAAUUUCUGGUGUAGGGGUAAAAUCCGUAGAGAUCAGAAGGAAUACCGAUUGCGAAGGCGAUCUACUGGAACAUAACUGACGCUGAGACGCGAAAGCGUGGGGAGCAAACAGG
rnacentral:rRNA from 2 species